rnacentral:rRNA from 1 species
CCUACGGGGGGCAGCAGUGAGGAAUAUUGGUCAAUGGGCGAGAGCCUGAACCAGCCAAGUCGCGUGAAGGAUGACGGCUCUACGGGUUGUAAACUUCUUUUGUCAGGGAGCAAUUGGGUCCACGCGUGGGCUUAGCGAGAGUACCUGAAGAAAAAGCAUCGGCUAACUCCGUGCCAGCAGCCGCGGUAAUACGGAGGAUGCGAGCGUUAUCCGGAUUUAUGGGGUUUAAAGGGUGCGUAGGCGGACGCUUAAGGCAGCGGUAAAAGUGCGGGGCUAAACCGCGUCGAGCCGUUGAAACUGGGUGCCGUGAGUGGGCGAGAAGUACGCGGAAUGCGUGGUGUAGCGGUGAAAUGCAUAGAUAUCACGCAGAACUCCGAUUGCGAAGGCAGCGUACCGGCGCCCAACUGACGCUGAAGCACGAAGGCGUGGGUAUCGAACAGGAUUAGAUACCCUUGUAGUC